CAGCAGCCGCGGUAAAACGAAGGGGGUUAGCGUUGCUCGGAAUGACUGGGCGUAAAGGGCGCGUAGGCGGCGAUCAAAGUCAGGCGUGAAAUUCCUGGGCUCAACCUGGGGGCUGCGUUUGAUACUUGAUUGCUAGAGUGGGGAAGAGGGUCGUGGAAUUUCCGGUGUAGCGGUGAAAUGCGUAGAUAUCGGAAGGAACACCUGUGGCGAAAGCGGCUCACUGGACCAUUACUGACGCUGAGGCGCGAAAGCUAGGGGAGCAAACAGGAUUAGAUACCCGUGUAGUCCCUGUCUCUUAUAC
rnacentral:rRNA from 1 species